rnacentral:rRNA from 1 species
UACGAAGGGGGCUAGCGUUGUUCGGAAUUACUGGGCGUAAAGGGCGCGUAGGCGGUGUGUCAAGUCAGGCGUGAAAGCCCCGGGCUCAACCUGGGAACCGCGCUUGAGACUGGCACGCUGGAGUCCGGGAGAGGAUGGUGGAAUUCCCAGUGUAGAGGUGAAAUUCGUAGAUAUUGGGAAGAGCACCGGUGGCGAAGGCGGCUCUCUGGACCGAGACUGACGCUGAGGCGCGAAAGCGUGGGGAGCAAACAGG